AACGGCCCACCAAGGCAACGAUCGGUAGCCGGACUGAGAGGUUGAACGGCCACAUUGGGACUGAGACACGGCCCAGACUCCUACGGGAGGCAGCAGUGGGGAAUAUUGCACAAUGGGGGAAACCCUGAUGCAGCGACGCCGCGUGGAGGAAGAAGGUCUUCGGAUUGUAAACUCCUGUUGUUGGGGAAGAUAAUGACGGUACCCAACAAGGAAGUGACGGCUAACUACGUGCCAGCAGCCGCGGUAAAACGUAGGUCACAAGCGUUGUCCGGAAUUACUGGGUGUAAAGGGAGCGCAGGCAGGAAGACAAGUUGGAAGUGAAAUCUAUGGGCUCAACCCAUAAACUGCUUUCAAAACUGUUUUUCUUGAGUAGUGCAGAGGUAGGCGGAAUUCCCGGUGUAGCGGUGGAAUGCGUAGAUAUCGGGAGGAACACCAGUGGCGAAGGCGGCCUACUGGGCACCAACUGACGCUGAGGCUCGAAAGUGUGGGUAGCAAACAGGAUUAGAUACCCUGGUAGUCCACACCGUAAACGAUGAUUACCAGGUGUUGGAGGAUUGACCCCUUCAGUGCCGCAGUUAACACAAUAAGUAAUCCACCUGGGGAGUACGACCGCAAGGUUGAAACUCAAAGGAAUUGACGGGGGCCCGCACAAGCAGUGGAGUAUGUGGUUUAACUCGACGCAACGCGAAGAACCUUACCAAGUCUUGACAUCCCUUGACAGACAUAGAAAUAUGUAAUCUCUUCGGAGCAAGGAGACAGGUGGUGCAUGGUUGUCGUCAGCUCGUGUCGUGAGAUGUUGGGUUAAGUCCCGCAACGAGCGCAACCCUUAUGGUCAGUUACUACGCAAGAGGACUCUGGCCAGACUGCCGUUGACAAAACGGAGGAAGGUGGGGAUGACGUCAAAUCAUCAUACCCUUUAUGACUUGGGCUACACACGUACUACAAUGGCGUUAAACAAAGAGAAGCAAGACCGCGAGGUGGAGCAAAACUCAGAAACAACGUCCCAGUUCGGACUGCAGGCUGCAACUCGCCUGCACGAAGUCGGAAUUGCUAGUAAUCGUGGAUCAGCAUGCCACGGUGAAUACGUUCCCGGGCCUUGUACACACCGCCCGUCACACCAUGAGAGCCGGGGGGACCCGAAGUCGGUAGUCUAACCGCAAGGAGGACGCCGCCGAAGGUAAAACUGGUGAUUGGGGUGAAGUCGUAACAAGGU
rnacentral:rRNA from 1 species